GGCCCGAAACCUCAGCUUAUGUGUUCCUGAGAUGCUGCUUGGCCUGCUGUGUUCAUCCAGCUUAACACUUUGCCUAAAUGUUUGAAUUUUUUGAUAGAAUUGUAUAGUCUCCAGGACAAUCAGCAAUGGACCAGCAAAGCCCACAGCCCGUGGGCAAGUAAAACCGGAAAACGCGUUAUAUUUGCUGAACCCAUAGUCUCUGCCUAAAAGAAAAUGUGGACUUUGGACUUAAAGGGAACUAUAACACCGAGUGCGGGGAGGGGUCUGUCCGGACUUCUCAUGGAAUUCCCAUGGUUAGGAAGUUUCCACUCAGAGAAAGGAACACGUCUAUUUAAGGGAGAGGGGAAAAAGUUUGCUCGUGAAAACGUCUCAGACUUUGAAAAACAUUUUGAUCAGAGGUGCGGAGAUUUUGUGAACACAAGAGACAGGAGAACAGCUCGGCCCCAUUCAGAUGGCACAACACGAACCUAAACUACACUCUGAAACAGAAGAAUUCUGAGAUUUCAGUUUCAGAAAUACUGCCAUUGGAACAACUUAGAUCAUGAAACACUGGGUACAUCCAGACAAAUGUGGUGUCACACAUAAGAUGCAGCUGUGAAUUUAGGUAAUUUGUAUGUCAUUUAUGUAGAACAA